rnacentral:rRNA from 1 species
UACGUAGGGGGCAAGCGUUGUCCGGAAUCAUUGGGCGUAAAGAGCGUGUAGGCGGCCAGAUAAGUCCGCUGUGAAAUCUCGAGGCUCAACUUCGAGCUGUCGGUGGAAACUGUCUGGCUAGAGUCCGGAAGAGGAGAAUGGAAUUCCUGGUGUAGCGGUGAAAUGCGCAGAUAUUGGGAGGAACACCAGUGGCGAAGGCGGCUACCUGGACCGGUACUGACGCUGAUGCGCGAAAGCGUGGGUAGCAAACAGG